AAUCACGGAGAGCGGGUUCCGUCCCCUCGUCGCCUCGGCCUGUAACUGCUGCGGGGGCAGCUCUCUGGGCCCGCCCCUCCAGGCCAGGAGCCUUUUUCAAAAUGCCGGCGGUGGCAGGGAGGGUUGUGUGCUCCAGAGGCUUCCCUAGAGUGAAGAGCUCUACUAUGUAUGCUUUAUGCGGCAGAAGGAGUGCUUUGGAGGAGUUUUUAAAUUUCUGGUUUUUUUUUUAAAUCUUAUCUCAUCGGUUUUAAUUGUAGCAAUGAUUCAAGAAACGUUAGUAGGUGCCCAUAACUUUGGUGGUGGAGAUCCAAAAGUGAACAAGACAGUGUUCUGGCUGCUAAAUUCUUCUUAACUGGUUAUGCCUGGAGACCUUCACUUGGUUCUGUGCCAGCACUGCCCAUGAACUUCAUAGACUGUGAUCUUUGCUAAGGCCUAAAUGAAUGAAGUGCAGGUGCGGGACUGGAAGCAGAAGACAGAAAGUGGAGACCAAAUGUUUGAACCUGGGUAAAGGCAGGGAUGGAGCAGGAACCGAGGAACAAACCUUGGAACUAGAUUCCCAUGAUCAUAUGUGAAAAGGUGAUUGGAAUUGUAGAGAAGAUAGAAAGAUAAAAACUGAGCUGAAUGACCAAAUCUGGUGAUCACUGCUUCAAUGAGUCAUUCUGCAAAUAUUUAUGGAGUGCACACAUGUGCCAGACCCUGUACAUAGUCGAGCCUAGGGCAACAUCAAGGAACAACCUGAUCUCCAUACUUAAGCUUGUAAAACACACAUCUUUGGGAAAUGCUGGUUCAUCAGACUGGGUGGCAUCAAUGAGAGCAGAGAGUUGAGCCUCAAGGGAAUGGAACACAAGACAAGCAAAUUCAGAUGGAAGAGGAGGAGGAGAAGAUUCUGGACCAUGUGUUCUCUCACCAGCUGUCUGCCUGCAGUAUUGGCCUUGUUCGUGCUACAAGAAAUGGAGCAAAAUCUCAUUCGCAGUCGCCUUGUUGCUCAAGGAAUUUUUAAGAGACAAGGGUGAAGGAUUCCAACUGCAAACAUAUAUACAUGUGGGUGUAAGAAACAUAAACAGAAGAGAGCACUUAUGGGUAACAGAAGUGCCAGCUGGGACUUUAGAGCUGGGUGGUUUGUGUUUGCAAAGUUUUUUUUUUUUUUUUUUUAGUCGAGAGUAGUUCUUAGAGUACAUAAUCCAUAUGGUGUGUUUAAAAUAGACCACAUAGUCCGAAAAUGGAGCUCCUGAGAAAUUCACAGAUAACAAUCUCAACUGCUAUUUUCAUAUGUUAAAGCUGAAAUCAUCUCGUAAAGAUAAUUCAGGAUGAAAUAUUUUCAUUUCCAUUUAAAUGCAGAAUUAUUUAGUUUUCAUUGCAAAAAGCUCCAGCCAGAGCCUCCUAAUAAAGUCACAUGCCUGACUCCAGGCAUUUUUGAAGUGUCUGUUACAAUACCGUGGUAUCUAGCUUGUAGGAAAAGAUAAAAAGAGAAGAUAUACAAAGAGAAUAAAAGAUCUGGAAUCAAAUGUUUUAAUAAUUAAUUCUACUAGGGAACAGGGAGCGGCAACCUGUAGAGUUAUAACUGUGGAGAGUGCUUGAGUACUUGGCUUUAUGAUAAAAAUCCCAAAUCACUUUCAGCUUUAUUCUUUGCUUAAAAACAGUAAUUCAUUACUGAAAACCAUGAAAUAAAAAAGUUCACUAAUUAGAUUAAAUGGAUACUAAAUAGAUAAAUACAUAAGUAGAUUUUGUACCUAUAAAUAUAACUGUUGUGAAGAUUUGUUGAGUCAUUUUUUUGUGACUCAUUUUCUUUCCCAACUUCCCAAUCUUUUGGGGCUCAUGGUUGCAUUAUAUUCAGAAUACACUUACAAAUAGUGCAGAAAGAAAUAUAUACCAAGGGGGCAACAUUAAGGUGUGUCUCAAAAAUGUGGAAAUGUGGCCAACAGCCAUCAACCAGUUUAUCCUUCUUGCUUAGCUUAAAAACCAAGCAAAAUCCUUUGAGUUCGUUCAAGCAUGGUAGACAUAAAACUUGUUUCAUAUUACUAUAUUCUCUUACUAAAAAUUGUUGUGUCAAGUAAAUUGAUGAAGAUAUCUUUGUCUAAAUUAAUAAUGUUGACAUAUCACUUCUUUUAGUUCAUUUAGUGUGUUUUGGGGUGAAAAAAUUGAUAUUCUGGGAAGAAAGUAGUGUUCUAAAAGUGGUAUAAUUCCUCAAAAGCCAUUAUGAGAAAAAAAUCAUUAACUGUACCAUAUUAUAUAUUAAGUAUUAUGUGUCACACAUUGCACUUAUAAAGCCUGAAUUAUAUAAUACUUUUCAGCUCACCUCAGAGAAGACAGCAUUGUGCUGUGUGCCUAGUGGAAGAUUUUCACUUCAGACAAAAGGAUGGGAAUAAGUAACUUGCUCAGGGACUUAUACCAAGUUUAUAGACACAAUAAAUUAACCAACACAACUUUAUGCAGCAGUUGUGGAAAGUUUGAUUCCAAAUAAGUUAAGCAAAGAAAGAUUAGCUUGUUGGAAUAAUCCCAGAAUAUUUUAACAGAAGAGGAGCUCUUGUCCAGGAUUGGCCAAUAACCAGCUCUGUGGCCUUGGAAAAGUCUCAUAUCCUCUGGGAUCCUCUCUUUCCUCAUUUGUAAUAAAAAGGAGUGGUUGCACUAGAUCUUCAUUAAAGUCCAUUAAGUAUCCACAUUCUGGGAAGCUAAUGUUUUAGUUAACCUCUUAAAGUAGAGAACACAAUAGAUGUGAGAUUUUUAAUUUAAUGUGGCCCCAGUGGUUACAGGGUUAUACCUAUACCUAUACCUAUGUUUAUACAUGUAAUAGGGAGAGAUUGAUUUGAAUGUUUUGAAAUAAAAGUAUUCUAAGUCAUCUCACACCACAUUCAUUUAUAGAAAUUGUGGGACCCUAUUAGACCCAAAAAGGAUUUGAAUACUAUAUCAGGUUGAUAAAUGUAGAUACUAACAAACCAUCCAGAAACUUGUAUUUCAAACACAUCCUGAACUGGAGUCAAGACAUCACCAGAUCUUUCCCACACACACUGUAUACAAUGGACUAUGCUUCAUGCUUCUUUGUUCAUCUCCAGGGUAUCUGUUUGGUGCCAGAUCAGUGUUUCAGGAAAUUAGUAGUUACUGAGUUUUUCUCAUAGUAGUUCCAAAAGUCAGUUUCGUGCUACAUGGGUGACUUUAAAGAUGACAUAUGUUAAUUUAUAUAACAUUAUCCGAGAUGAAAAUGUAAAAGCUGUGCCUUCAAUGAAAGGCAUCAAAAGUCUGAAAACCAGAAGUUUACUUAUAAAAUGUAAAUCUUUUAAAACUGGACUUAUCUCCCAUGGCCCCAUGGAGUAAUGAGUGUUGUAACUUCAAAGCUAAGUUUCUAAAACUUGACACUUGUGAUAUUUUGGGCCAGGUAGUUCUUUGUGAUGGGAGACUGCCCUCUGCACUGUAGGAUGUUUAGAAGCAUCCCUGGCCUCUACCCACUAGAUGCCAUUAGCAAUCCUCCAUCACCAUGCAACAACCAAAAACGUGUCCAGCUAUUGCCAGAUGUGCCCUGGGAGACAAAAUAGCCCCAAGAUGAAAAUCACUGCCUUAUGGAAAGAUAAGUUGGCAAUGAUAUUAUAUCACAAUUUUCUUUUCUUGAAAAUAAUAGUGGUGUAAUUAUACAUUUGACAAGAAAAAAAUAGUUUGUGGCUAAUUGAACUCUGAUGUAAGUUUUUGGUGCUGCUAUGCUGACCUCUGUGAGUAUGUUCAGUAGAGUUAAUUUACUGUCCUUUUAAAUACUUAGGCAACAUGGAGUUAAUUCACAUACAUGGAAUAGAAGCUGGACAGGGGGUUAGAAGUUAGUCCAUAUAUUAAAAUGGAUGGAGGAAGAUUACUAUCGAAAUUGCAAAAAGAAGAAUUUGUUCCUUUCCCUUGGAGCGGACCUAAGGAACUUAAUUUAUGUUGAUUUUUUUUCCUCAAGAAUUGGAAACAAGGAAAAUAAAGCCAGAAAACAAGCACAUUUGAGAGUAAAUAAAGUCAUUUCUUCCAU